rnacentral:rRNA from 1 species
UACGGAGGGUGCGAGCGUUGUCCGGAAUCAUUGGGCGUAAAGGGCGCGUAGGUGGCGGGACAAGCGUGCGGUGAAAGCUUGGGGCUCAACCCCGAGUCGGCCGUGCGAACUGUCUUGCUUGAGCACUGUAGAGGCAGGCGGAAUUCCGGGUGUAGCGGUGGAAUGCGUAGAGAUCCGGAAGAACACCGGUGGCGAAGGCGGCCUGCUGGGCAGUAGCUGACACUGAGGCGCGACAGCGUGGGGAGCAAACAGGAUUAGAACCCGGUCGAGCC